UAGGGAAUCUUCGGCAAUGGACGGAAGUCUGACCGAGCAACGCCGCGUGAGUGAAGAAGGUUUUCGGAUCGUAAAGCUCUGUUGUAAGAGAAGAACGAGUGUGAGAGUGGAAAGUUCACACUGUGACGGUAUCUUACCAGAAAGGGACGGCUAACUACGUGCCAGCAGCCGCGGUAAUACGUAGGUCCCGAGCGUUGUCCGGAUUUAUUGGGCGUAAAGCGAGCGCAGGCGGUUAGAUAAGUCUGAAGUUAAAGGCUGUGGCUUAACCAUAGUAGGCUUUGGAAACUGUUUAACUUGAGUGCAAGAGGGGAGAGUGGAAUUCCAUGUGUAGCGGUGAAAUGCGUAGAUAUAUGGAGGAACACCGGUGGCGAAAGCGGCUCUCUGGCUUGUAACUGACGCUGAGGCUCGAAAGCGUGGGGAGCAAACAGGAUUAGAUACCCUGGUAGUCCACGCUGUAAACGAUGAGUGCUAGGUGUUAGACCCUUUCCGGGGUUUAGUGCCGUAGCUAACGCAUUAACACUCCGCCUGGGGAGUACGACCGCAAGU
rnacentral:rRNA from 1 species